AUUGAACGCUGGCGGCAUGCCUUACACAUGCAAGUCGAACGGUAACAGGUCUUCGGAUGCUGACGAGUGGCGAACGGGUGAGUAAUACAUCGGAACGUGCCCGAUCGUGGGGGAUAACGAAGCGAAAGCUUUGCUAAUACCGCAUACGAUCUACGGAUGAAAGCAGGGGACCGCAAGGCCUUGCGCGAACGGAGCGGCCGAUGGCAGAUUAGGUAGUUGGUGGGAUAAAAGCUUACCAAGCCGACGAUCUGUAGCUGGUCUGAGAGGACGACCAGCCACACUGGGACUGAGACACGGCCCAGACUCCUACGGGAGGCAGCAGUGGGGAAUGUUGGACAAUGGGCGAAAGCCUGAUCCAGCCAUGCCGCGUGCAGGAUGAAGGCCUUCGGGUUGUAAACUGCUUUUGUACGGAACGAAAAGACUCUGGUUAAUACCUGGGGUCCAUGACGGUACCGUAAGAAUAAGCACCGGCUAACUACGUGCCAGCAGCCGCCGUAA
rnacentral:rRNA from 1 species